UACGGAGGGGGCAAGCGUUAUCCGGAAUUACUGGGCGUAAAGCGUGCGUAGGCGGCCAUGCAAGCUUGGGGUCUAAGGCUGCGGCUUAACCGCGGCAUGCCCUAAGAACUGUAUGGCUUGAGUGCAGGAGAGGAGAGUGGAAUUCCUAGUGUAGCGGUGAAAUGCGUAGAGAUUAGGAGGAACACCAGUGGCGAAGGCGACUCUCUGGACUGCAACUGACGCUCAGGCACGAAAGCGUGGGUAGCGAACAGA
rnacentral:rRNA from 1 species